GCCGGAGCGCCCGCAGGCGGUGCUGCCGGAAGCCCCGCCCAUUGGCCGCCGGGUUCGUGGCUGGCUGGCCGCGGCUGUCACUCCGGGGCCGUUUCCCUGAGGCCAGCGCUCUGCUGGGGGCGGGAGGAAGAGGGGCCGGACUGGGGCCUGAAGAGCCGUCGCUGUCUUCGCUGCUGCUAUGACCAGCGGCCGAGGCGCCCUCCGCAGUCCCGCGCAGCGCUCGUAGCGGCCGAGCUCCCGCCGAAGCCGUCCGGGUCCCCAGCGUGGCCGCUCCCGCGGCCCCUCGGCUCUUCCGUCGCCGCGCGCUAGGCGAGGCGGAGGCAGGAUGAAGAUGACGGUGGAUUUCGAGGAGUGUCUGAAGGACUCACCCCGCUUCAGGGCUGCUUUGGAAGAAGUAGAAGGAGAUGUGGCUGAAUUGGAACUAAAACUUGAUAAGCUUGUGAAGCUCUGUAUUGCCAUGAUUGAUACCGGAAAAGCCUUUUGUCUUGCAAAUAAACAGUUCAUGAACGGGAUCCGAGACCUGGCCCAGUAUUCUAGUAAUGAUGCUGUAGUUGAAACAAGUUUGACCAAGUUUUCUGACAGUCUUCAAGAAAUGAUAAAUUUUCACACAAUCCUGUUUGACCAAACUCAGAGAUCAAUUAAGGCACAGCUUCAGAACUUUGUUAAAGAAGAUCUUAGAAAAUUUAAAGAUGCCAAGAAGCAAUUUGAAAAAGUCAGUGAAGAGAAAGAAAACGCAUUGGCAAAAAAUGCCCAAGUACAAAGAAACAAACAGCAUGAAGUUGAAGAAGCCACAAACAUUUUGACAGCCACAAGAAAAUGUUUUCGACAUAUAGCCCUUGACUAUGUACUCCAGAUUAAUGUUCUUCAAUCAAAAAGGAGAUCUGAAAUCCUAAAAUCAAUGUUAUCCUUUAUGUAUGCCCAUUUGGCGUUCUUUCAUCAAGGAUAUGAUUUAUUUAGUGAACUCGGACCCUACAUGAAAGAUCUUGGAGCACAGUUGGAUCGACUAGUUGUGGAUGCAGCAAAGGAGAAAAGAGAGAUGGAACAAAAACAUUCCACCAUUCAACAAAAGGAUUUCUCCAGUGAUGAUUCUAAGUUAGAAUACAACGUCGAUGCUGCAAAUGGCAUUGUUAUGGAAGGCUAUCUGUUCAAGCGAGCCAGCAAUGCCUUCAAAACUUGGAACAGGAAAAAGCCCGAUCAUAUCAGACGCUGGUUUUCAAUACAGAACAAUCAGCUGGUUUACCAGAAAAAGUUUAAGGAUAAUCCCACUGUAGUAGUUGAAGAUCUCAGGCUAUGCACUGUGAAACAUUGUGAAGAUAUAGAAAGGCGAUUCUGCUUUGAGGUGGUCUCUCCAACUAAAAGUUGUAUGCUCCAGGCAGAUUCUGAAAAGCUACGCCAGGCAUGGAUUAAAGCUGUUCAGACCAGUAUUGCUACUGCUUAUAGAGAGAAGGGUGAUGAAUCAGAGAAGCUGGAUAAGAAAUCAUCUCCAUCCACAGGAAGCCUAGAUUCUGGAAAUGAGUCAAAAGAGAAAUUAUUAAAAGGAGAAAGUGCACUGCAGCGGGUCCAGUGUAUCCCUGGGAAUGCUAGCUGUUGUGACUGUGGUCUGGCAGAUCCACGGUGGGCCAGCAUCAACUUAGGCAUCACCUUGUGCAUUGAGUGCUCUGGGAUUCACAGGAGUCUUGGGGUUCAUUUUUCAAAAGUGCGAUCUUUAACUUUAGACACCUGGGAGCCUGAACUUUUAAAGCUUAUGUGUGAGUUGGGGAAUGAUGUUAUAAACAGAGUUUAUGAAGCUAACGUGGAAAAAAUGGGAAUAAAGAAGCCACAACCAGGACAAAGACAGGAGAAAGAGGCAUAUAUCAAAGCAAAAUAUGUGGAAAGGAAAUUUGUGGAUAAAUAUUCUGUAUCAUCAUCACCUCCUGAGCAGGAAAAAAAGGUUGUCUCCAAAGAUAGCGAAGAAAAGAGGCUGAGCAUUCCUAAACUUGGGCCAGGCGACCAAGUCAGAACAUCCAUCCAGAGUUCAGUGGUUGCUGUAAAUAGCGACGAGGCCAGGCGGGAGUCUCUGUUCUGUCCUGAUGAGCUAGAUUCACUCUUCUCCUACUUUGAUACUUCUUCAAAACUGCGUAGUAUUAAAAGUAAUGACAGUGGAAUCCAGCAGAGUUCUGAUGAUGGAAGAGAAUCUUUACCCUCCACAGUGUCAGCCAAUAGUUUAUAUGAGCCUGAAGGAGAAAGGCAAGAUUCUUCUGUGUUUCUCGAUUCUAAACAUCUUAAUCCAGGACUUCAGCUCUACAGGGCUUCAUAUGAAAAAAAUCUUCCAAAAAUGGCUGAGGCUUUGGCUCAUGGUGCAGAUGUGAACUGGGCUAAUUCAGAGGAAAACAAAGCAACACCACUUAUUCAGGCUGUAUUAGGGGGCUCUUUGGUGACAUGCGAGUUCCUUCUACAGAAUGGUGCUAAUGUGAACCAAAGAGAUGUUCAAGGGCGGGGACCACUGCACCAUGCCACCGUCUUAGGGCAUACAGGGCAGGUGUGUUUAUUUCUAAAACGAGGUGCCAAUCAACAUGCCACUGAUGAAGAAGGGAAAGACCCUUUGAGCAUAGCUGUAGAAGCAGCCAAUGCUGAUAUAGUAACCUUGUUACGCUUAGCAAGAAUGAAUGAAGAGAUGCGGGAAUCCGAAGGACUUUAUGGACAGCCAGGUCAAUAUUCUACUAAUAAUCAUACUGAAAUGCAGUAUAAGAAAUGCAUUCAGGAGUUUAUCAGUUUACAGUUGGAAGAUUCAUAGUUCAUUAGCAAACCAACAUGACAACUUAGUUUUUAUAACUUACUUGUAAAUUGUGAGUUGUUAGGUAUGGACUGUACUUCUUACAUUCUUGGGUGGCUAAUCUUGGGCCUUUAAAAAUCCUUAAUUACUCCUAUUACAGUACCCCUUGACUUGCUAUAGUUAAGUCCGGCUGCUGACUUUAUCUGCUGUACAGAUGUCUUCCAUAUACAUUCCAGUGAAGUGAAUGGAAUGAUAAAAGUAUUCUUUAUAUAUACUUACAGCAGCAAAAUGGUUGGUUUCUUUUUGGAAUUCUUUUUAGCUGUCAAAUGAAUAUAACAAAAUUGUUUUCUUUUUGUUAUUCAGGGAAUUUCUAUGAAUUGUGUUCAGGGAAAAAGACAAAUCAUGUGUUUGAUAUGUAACGAGUCAGUAUGGAAAGUAUCAUGAAAAAGUUUAUUGAUGAGUCUUGUAUGCCUAUCUGAAAAUGAUUUGAAGAUUUAAGAUAAAAAUAUACCAGUAGAUUGAGAAGUUCACAAAGGGAAUGGAAUCAGUUUAAAAGGUUGAGGAAAAAGUUCUCACUUUAUCGUUAGCUUUGCCUCAAGCAGUUGUAUAACAUCUAUUGGAUAACUGCAAGUAUUUAGACCAGUAUUUUGUGAACCUAAUGGCUAAGUUGACUUAUUCUUAUUAGAGAAAUCUUAAUUCAUGAUCAUUUCAAGUUACAUUUUGAAUAAUUUUCACCUGUGAGUCAAGAUGUCAAGAAAUAAGAAAAUGUGUGCUGAUCAGAUUCCCGUCUUUGAUGAACAUAUGCUGGUGAUAUAUUCUUCACCAAGAAGAGAAUAAUUAUUUCAUGAAUUUGAAUAUAUGAAUUACUAUUCUGCUUUAAAUUCAUAUACAUAUUAGUAAAAAAUUCAGGAAUUUAUGACUAAAAGACUUGACAGUGUUCAUUCAUUUAAUUGAAUUAAAAAGGGGAAUAUUGAUGCAUUAAUUUAAAAGUGGCCUGAUAAUAUCUUUUAUUCUUCUUGUUUAAAUGGGUUUUAAAAUCUCUGUAUUUUAUGCUAGUUUAAAGUCAUUUACUUUAUUUUAGCCAGAUAAAUAUAUAAUAUCAGUUUGGGGGCAUUCUUUUCUUAGAGAACAGUAUUGGCUGCUUCUUUUUGGCUUAAUUUAAUAGAGAACAAGUGAGAAUUUUGAGAAUGGAGGCACUUGAACUAGAUAUUUCCAAUCUAGGUGUCCUGCUUUAAUCCUAUGGAUCGUAGAAUACUGCUUACUCUUAAUAUUCCAUGAAGAGGAGUACUGGUUAAGGGUGAAGCUCUAGAAUUAAUCCUGGAUUUCACCCAUUUGUUUUAAACUUGAAUGCCAGAUUUUACAUAAGUUAUAAUUUUAUAACAGAUAUAUGUAUGUGAUAGUAUUACUGGGCCGUUUUUGAGGCCUUUGUGUUUAAGCACUUUAAAAUAAACAAUGCUCAAAGGAUAUGACCUGAGAUAAGAGAGAACAUCAAGAUUUUAAGUUAGAUAAUUUUUUUUCCCUGAAAUUUUAAACUUAAAUGUUUGGUGAGCUACUCUUUUCCUUAAGGUGUGUGCUGCUGAAGUUCACCCAAGUGAUUAGUGCAAAGGUCAGUGGUCAGCUCUUCUCUGGAAGUGGGAAGACUGACAGGUCAGGGCCUCUGGGUUGUUGCCACCUCCAUCUGGUUCCACCCCAAUUACUUGGGUUUUGGCUCUCACCAUUUGGUAUUCACAUGUCUCUUUCACUAUGGUAUAUUUAUUAAGUUUAUCCAGAAGUAUAUGAGUAAUCCCUUCCAUGCAUAGUAGAAACAUGGAUAUUUCUAAUUUAUCUUAAUGAAAAUUAGAAAAAAAAGCAUUUUAAAACAAGCUCUCCUCCCAUUCUCAAAUUUUAGUUUUGAGGUUAAAAAAUAGAUCAGAAUUCUGGAAAUAGUGUUAUCACAAUAAAAUUGGACUUCUUGAUCCACUUAAGGAUCAGUUUCAAAGUUAAUUGUGCUUUUAAUUCAUUCACAGUGCCUAAUAUUUAGAGCAGAAUAAUUUUAUGCUUAUACAGGUGACAUGGUUAAAUGGCACAGUGAUUGCUUUCUGGUUGCUUUUUUUCCCUUUAUGCAUCUUUGGAGAGCAGAUGUGCUUGGCUCAUGGUUUUUCCUCUGCUUAUCACUAAAAGUUUUUCUCAUAGAUUUUGGUUAAUUGUUUUAUUGGGAUCCUAUUUUGGCUAUCCUAGCAAUAGAAAGAAAAACCUCAGAAUUCCAGGUUAUUUCUAAGUGCAGGUAUUUUCAUUCUUUUGAUAAUGAGGAGCUCUAUCAUUUGAAAGACUCAGAUAUAAUAUUUGGCAAUUGUGGACUUGUUUCUAGGGAAUCUCCUUUCUGAACUUUCUGUCUACAACUCCAAGAACCUGAGACACUCUAUUUUUUUUUUUCAAGGCAAUGUGAGAACAUACAUCUUCUGAAAGAAGGCAAUGUCCUUCCUCAGGCAUGCCUACAACUCUUGGGAGGCUUGUGUGGAUGAGGGAAAUGGCACAUUCUGCUCUUAAUUGUUGGAGACCAGUUUGGUAAUUCCCACAGUCUCUGGUCCUAUGACUCUCGAUUAUUGGCAGGUCCUCAGCCAGUUGAGAACAGUGCUUUAGGGGUCCACUACUAGUUAUGUGAACAUGUAGUAGGCAGACUGGGAAUCACUGAUUUACUCAGUUACAAAAUGAAGGUAUUGCCAACUCAGGGCAAGAUUAUGCAUUUAAUCAUCUUGGGGUGAGUCUCACAUGUGCCCCCACUUGAGGGAUCAAAAUUGGCCAGUUCUUGAACCACCAUUACUGCUGUUGUCAUGAGUAUUCUGAAUACCAAAAAUUAAAGAUGAAUCUGCACUCUCAGUGGAAACACAACAGUCUAUAUUUUAAAAACCUCAAUUUCUCCAAGCACAUAGAAGAGUUAACUCUCUGAAGGGAACUGGAACGUGGCUAAGUAAUCUAAAGAAUAUGCUUAGUAUUACAAAUACUGGAUGAUUAGUUGUUUAUCAUUUAUAAUAAUAUUCCAGGGCAGCAUAUUCUGAGUUUUAUUUAUGUGUUCUAGUAUAGACAAAUUAUGUUUGCCUUGUGAGAAAUUCUAAGUGAUUGAAAUUAUACUUAAAUUUUAAGUAAUCACAAUGAAGUUCAGUUUGUGUUUGCUGUAUUAACUAUCUUAGUCAUUGUUGUUGUAAUAUUUGCUUUUGACACGCAUUUUGAGGUCUAAGAAAGGUAGUAUAUUAACAGUGCACUAAUUGUUUUGUUAGAAACUGUUAACAAAAAGUUGUGUGUAUGUGUGUAUGAAGGUGGAAACUUCCUUUUGUAUUGUAGUAACUUUUCAAAUGUAUUCAGUCAGUGAAACCAAGGAUUAUUAUAGCGCCAACAUUUUCCCUCAAGGAAGUGUUUAGUUCAGUGAAUGAAAGGUCUUAUAGUUUGUUUUGCAUGGUACAAUGGUUCUACUAAAAUGUACUUGUGUAAUAGGUAUUAGAUGACUUAAAAACAAAAACUGGGAAAACAUAAAAAAAUCCCACAGCUUGUCAUAAAAAUAUGCAUUGCUAAUAGUAGAAGCCAUAUAUUGCCAUUGUACUGUUGUUAUAUUUAAGAAUGCUCAUUUGGUGCUAUCUGUAAACCGUUUGGCAUUAGUGUUUGCUAGAUCCUUCUUUCUAUUUCCUCUUGAAUGUAUAAUGUGUGCCUUUUAAGUUACUUUUGGUGUUUAAUGGUACAAUCAUUGUGGUAUUUUUGUAUUAUAAUCGGCACUUUACACUUUUCUUGGAAAGUAAAAUUCCAGACUAUCCUGUUUAAAUAAUAUUUUAAAAAUAUUUAUAAAGUUUACAAUAAAUAUUUUAAAUAUUUUCAUUUAACAUCUAAAAUUUUUAGAAUAUUUGUAUGGUUUGUUAACUUCCUAAAGUUUAUUGUUGCUCUCUUUGUUUUGUUAUCUUUUAGAAUGACUAAAAAUGGGAAAGGCUGUAGUUUGUCUUUUAAUGUGGAAGUAAACUUUUAAGAAUUCAUAGGUAUAAAUAGAUUGUGUCACCAGUUGUUACAGAAUGUCAACCCUUAUUUUGUUUUAGUAGUAAUGAUUUGAAUUAGGUGUCACAACCAAACUACUAAGAUUCUAUUUUUUUUUCCUUUGUAAAGUUGCUUGAUUAGAUUUAAUUUAUUGAUUCAGGUCAUGAAUAAAUUUCCAGGGCUAAAUGAAAACUAUAUAGAGAUUUUAAUAAAUUGCCUUUUAUAUAGACUAAAUAUUAAAAGCAAAUAAAAAUAUUAAAAAUUUUUAUUGGAAAUCUUGGGUUAUACUGUUAGACAUUUUUGCUAGGUCUUUACCUCUGUCCAACAUUUUUCUAAUUCUCUAGCUUUUGGUAUGAUAUCUGUUGUCUCACAAAUCUUGCCUCUUAAAAACUGACAAAACUUACUGCACUAUUAAUAACAACUGUGUCAAUGAGUUUAUUAUAAGAUGGGUGCAAGGUAUUUUCUGGAAAAUAAUUAUAAAAUCAUGUUACAACAAUAGUUAUCUAAAACAGUAUAUUAUGGUCUAAAUUCUGAGGACAGAAUUAUGCUAAGCGUCUGUGUGAAGCUAGUGUUUAGCAGGAAGCAUUCAUGGUGAAUGAUUCGUUUUAAAAAUAAGAUUUUUUUUUCUGAUGAAUUAAUCUGUAUAUAUUUAGUUUCUCAUGGCAAGAAAAACAGUAUUCACUGUGCUAUAAUAUCAAUAGAAUAUUCUCUAUGAGCAUAUUUGUGUGUGUUCAUUUUCUUUUUCCUCUAAUUUAACAGGUGAUCACUGGUAUUCAUUCCCAUUUUAUCAUAGUAUUCUUGCUCAUAAGAUCUACAAUAAACAAAACACUCUGACUACAUAUGAAACUAUGAUUUGAUAGUCAUUUUCUAUUUUCCAUUUUAAGCAUAGUAAGCUGUAGACUAGGUGUGUUAAUUUUAACCAUUAAAGAAUUAACUUCAUUGUGUUAUUUCAAUUUAAAUUUGAUUAAAAUAUAAUAGUAAAAUAGGAAAGUUGUUUCCAUCUGAUGAUCAGUUUGUCUUGUUGAUUAAUAACUUGCAUCCAUCAGGAACUUUAGUGUUUGAUUUGGUCAUUUCUUUUGACCUUUAUCAAGGAAAAUAUUUGAAGAAUGUCUUGUUUCCUCUAACUCAUUUAGAAUGACUUAUUUCUCAUGUUAAUAAAUGUAUUUCUUUACCUUGCUUUAAAACACUUGCAUCUUUGUUCUUUUCUAACUCUGAACUUUCCACUGUGGCUGCAUCUGAGGUGCUUUUUUCAGGUGAUGAAACGUACCAGGAUAUUUUUCGUGAUUUUUCCCAAAUGGCAUCCAAUAAUCCAGAGAAAUUAAAUCGUUUCCAGCAGGACUCACAGAAAUUCUGAAAUUUUUUAAGAAGGUGGAACAUAAGAAACCUGAUGACCCUCACCAUGACUGAAAAUUCACAGAUUUUUACUGAAUUAAUUCUACUUAAUUUUGCUAUAUAUUGAAUGGUUUGGAGAAAAGGUACCCAUUCACUGAUGUUGUUAUAAAUUAAACAACUAGUAGUUGGGAGAGGACCCUAAUACUAUAGGACCUAUUUUAUUAAAAAAUUAAAAACCUGUUUAAAGGGUUUAUUUUUAAUAAAGUUGAAUCUAGAUUUCAUCUAACUGUAGGGUAUAGGAUACAAAGAGAUUAGACAGAAUCUUCUUCUCUCUUGCUCUUUUUUUUUGGUCAAGGGGGAUGAUGAUAGCAUUGAUUUUUUUUUUUUUUCCAUGCGUCGAGCGUGGGAUCAUUCAGUCCAGCAUGUCUGCAUCAAGUGGGAGCCAGCUGUUCCGCCUGCCUCAAGAAUGUGUUCUUUCUUUGGCUUCCAUGAUGAUUUUUGGUGGUUCAUAAAUAGGUGUAUGUGCUUUUUCUUUUUGGUAGCCUCCGUGUUGUACACACAAUGUAUGACUUCAUUUUGAAACUAGAGAUUAUGCUUUCCCCAUUUGCUCAUGAAUGCCCUUGGAUUCCUUAGAUGACAGGUUACUGCCUGAUACUUUUACAUACAUAUAAUAGCUGUAUAGUAAACCAUAGUUCAGUCCUUUAGAUUUAGUCCUUUCUAUGAAGCAGAAGAGAAACUGUUAAUUUUUUUUAACCAUCAAAAAAAUCCCAGUUCAGAAGUUAUAGUUCUUCAUUGUUGGAUUGAUUUCCUAAAACCCUAACAGAUUUGUUGAUAUAAUAAAACUGUUUCAAAGGUUACGUGAAUGUUGCAAAAUUAUGCUUUCAUCAAAACAUAACUUUCAAAGAAAAAAGUUGAUUUAUAAAAAUAAUAUAGAGCAUUUUUAUUUUGAGGUUUGCCCUUUUGAAGAUAACAUUAUUGCUGUUGCUGUUGGUGAAAGGAAAAUUUAUACAAAGUAGAAAAAAGACCCAUAUUUUCUUAGUUUACACUAAAGUAUACAGCAAAAACUUGCUUUUGAUUUCCAUCCUGUGUACUGUAAGCAAUGUACAUUCUUUUAAAUUACAGCAUGUAUAUAGCUUCAAUAUUUGCUUAUAUGAAUUACAAACCCUUAAAUUCCAAUACAUUAUCAGUAUAUUUAGUUACCAUUAUAUGUUACAAAUUAGUCUUAUCCCACCUUUGAUUGACAUAUCUUAUGGCAAGUAUAGAAGAGUUAGAUAAUUUGCCUUAUGGUACCUUUCUAAUGCUGUCAAUAAUUAAAUUUAACCCGUUAAAAUUAUUUGUAAAUAAUAUUAUUGAUACUCAGUUUCUACAUGAGGGUUUUACACUUGCAAAAGAGAAGUUGUAGUUAAUUGGAUAGGUAAUAAAUUUUCUAACAUUUUACCCCGAUAAGUAGAGUUUUAUAAAUUGAUGAAACACUAAAUCAUUAUCUAAAUAAGAAUUAUACUUAAAUAAAUUUAUAUCACAGAAAAGGGUCCAUACCUAGGCCUUUUUGGAUACAUUAAUGUUUAUUUAGUAAUGGUCAAUAUAUGUUGGAUAAGAAUAAAAUAUAUUUGUGAAUUAUUUCUGAGGAAAUGCUAACUUCCAAAACAUUGUAUUUUAACUAGAACAAUAUCAAGAACAUUAAAUCUUUCUUGUUUCACUUCAGAGUCAUAGAUCAAAGAUAGACUUUUAGAUACUUUAUCUAAAGGCAAAAACCUGAUUUGGAACAACAGUGUUUUUUAGAAUGUACUUGGAUAUUAGUUGUCCAGAAACUCAAGGAAAAGCAAUAUGUUAAAGAGAAGAAGAAAGAGAAGUGAAAAGAAAGCCCUCACUUCUUCUUUGUAGUGCCUGUUCCUGUUUAAUCCCAGGGCUUCACUCCUAAAGCUCUUGACCUUGAGGAAGUCUAGGCAGUUUUCCUUUUGGGUCCAGCCAUCGGUGCUUCCAUACACCUCUGAGAUAUGUGUGAUUGUGAAGGCAGUUGCUUAUGACACUCUUAACUCCUGUGGCUUGAGUCAUGGGUUGUUAAUAUGGCAGUAAUUAAUAUCUCCUUAAAUUUAAUGUUUAGAAAUAUAUUUUAGUGCCCUAAAGAUGAUCAUUAUUCUGAAUAUCUUCAGAGAAAUUUAAAUCUUUAAUAUUGCAGGGAAGCUGGCAAUACAGAAAUAUAUUUCUGUGGCUUGGUUUCUUGAAUGUGCUGGUAUCCAGUUUGGGCUAAAUUUGGCAGAAAUGAUAGAGUAAACAGCAAGGUUUUAAGUUAAAUUAAUAGUUACAAGGUAGGUUGGCUCUUAGGUGCAUUUAGCUGUGUCAGCUAAUAGCUUUUCUACAGUAUGUAACAAAUCCAAGUUUAGUUAUGCUGAGAAGUGUUCAGUCAUGAUGAGGAAUUACAGUGUGAACAGUGUUAAACAUUCUCUUGGGCUUCAUUAGUCCCUGUGAUUGCCCUUUGUUUUCUUUCCAUAAUUGAUCUGCUGACAUUAGUUUCUGAUUCCUAAUUACAUUUUUAGCUUAUUGUCAUUAGCUCAUAAACUUAAAAAUUGGAUUAAUGCCAAAGCAAGAAUAGUAAUACUACCUGUGAAGAGUUUAUAAAAUGCAGUUUCAUAUUAGAACUAGGCUAAAGGUAAUUGAACAGUUUAAUUGCAGUGCUUCCUUGCAUCAUUUAAUGUUUAAAAAUCUAAAGCUAGAAGUUAUCUUUAAUAAAAUCUUUAGAAAUUCAAAAAUUUCCAAGGAUUUACCACAUUAGAGUAUUAUCUAAUUUUUACUAGUCUUCAGCGUCGAUUUUAAUGAACUUCGGUGUUUACUCACCAAAACAAACAAACUUGACUUGGAAUAUGUACUUUGGUUCUUUAGGAGUGUAUUUUGGGGGAAAAAAUGUAUACCUUCACAAUCGAACAUCUUAAGUUUGUCAUACUUUAGCGGUAUUUUUUUAAAAAAACACAAUUUUACAUAUGUUCAAUGUGAUCACAGCAAACCAAAAUGUUGUAAGAUAUCCCAUUUGGAAUAAUUUCAUAUUCUAAUAUCACUCUUAUGUUGUCAGAUUAACUCUUGUAUGAUAACACCAUGGGCAUGGUACAUUUUUAUAGCAUUGAAUGGCUUUGGAACUGCAUGAUACAGUGGAAAGAGCACAGACCAGUAGUCACUACCCUUUUUGGAUUCAGGGUUCCUCACAGAUAAAAUUAGUGGGGUAAAACUAAAUGUAACAUAAAUAUGUAUUAUAAAUAUAACAGCACCCCUUUGUAUACUGCUUGCUACUUACAGUGUAAUUUGACAUUACUUUAUCUCACCUGAUUCUCACAGUGGGACUUCUGAGAUUCUUAUUGGGAGAUUGUCAACAUUGUCUGCUUUUUGAUCCUGUGGGCUCCUCUUGUUUUAUAGGGGUGGGGGAGUCAUUUGCUGUGAUAGUUGGUGACAGAGUUGACACCAUAACCCAGGUCUGACUGACUGACAGUCAGAGGCACUUUACUUGUAUCAUGAUACGAUUUGAAAUCAUUGUAAAGGAUCACAAUCUGAUAAUGACUGCCAGCUUUCCUUGUAUGCUCAUGGCAAGACUCCAAAUAUUUUGGAGAACCUGGAUUGAGGUUUGAAGGAAUAGAUGGAGAUUUGAAGAUGUAAAAUUGUAGAAAAUUUUGUAUUUUUUCAGUAAACAUUAGAGAAAGUAAAAAAAUUUAAAAAGCAAUUUUAAUUCAGCAUAUCCUUCUCAAUUACUGGAUGAUGCAUCCAAAUGAGAGAUAACUAAAUGGGGCAUGGGUUCAGUGUAUCUGGAUCCGGACAACUCUAAAUAUGGCUUUUUGGAUAUCUCUUUUCUGUUCAUAUGUAUUUAUUCACUGAAAGUGUGAUAAUAGGGAGUACAAAGCUAGAUUUGUUAAAAUAAUCUUUUCUCUGCAUUGGUCUUUGCAUUACUUAUUGUCUAGAUUUUCCCACUUUUCUUCAAACUCCCUAACACUCUUUUGGGUGUUAAUUUUAAGCAAGGAAAGCUUGCCACAUUAUAAAGAUUGUUUGGCACCAUUUUACACAAAGGUGAAAAGUUAACUUUUGGAAAUGAUGAGCUAUUUUUCCAUAAGUGUUUACUUGUGCUUUGUGGUAUUCUGGAUCAUUCCAGUCAUAAAGACUUAUUACAUGUAAUAUUUCUUGCUACCCAUGACAAGGUAUUUUUAAAGAAUGUAUAACCAACACUCCAUUUACUUUUUAUUAGUAUGUAGAGGAUUUGUAUCUAAUUAAUGAAUGUAGUUUUACUGUAGUUUGUCAUUGUAAAUGGAGCAAAGUACAAUAUCUUUAUAGUUAUUCUAAAAUGUACAUUAUGUAAGAAUUGUAAAUAUACUUGAUUAAGUACUUUGUAUGCUGAAAAAUUGCAAUAAUAAGUCAAUAAAAUUCUCACUUCUGGCAUA